rnacentral:rRNA from 1 species
UACGGAGGGGGCUAGCGUUGUUCGGAAUUACUGGGCGUAAAGCGCACGUAGGCGGCUUUGUAAGUUAGAGGUGAAAGCCCGGAGCUCAACUCCGGAAUUGCCUUUAAGACUGCAUCGCUCGAAUCAUGGAGAGGUGAGUGGAGUUCCGAGUGUAGAGGUGAAAUUCGUAGAUAUUCGGAAGAACACCAGUGGCGGAGGCGACUCACUGGACAUGUAUUGACGCUGAGGUGCGAAAGCGUGGGGAGCAAACAGG